GAUAUACUGGUCAGAAAUCGCCCUAGACUUACGGUUUGACAAUUGCACCUGCUCCCAGUUACCUUGGUUGUAAUAGUUUACAGCCUCACCAGCCCUGGUAAGAGAGGCUCCAUCACUCCCGGCUUCACUUCAUAACAGAACCAGAAAUGGAUGCUGAAUACAAAGAAAUCAACUUCUCAAAGGAGGGGAAGAGCAGUGGGAGGCUGUUAGUUCAUAUUUCAAAGGAGACAGGAAAGAGCCUCGGCAGCAUUUCGCUGAGUGAAGCGAUCGUGUUGCACAGGCGGGCCAAGUACCCACGGCAGCUGGGAGGAGAAAGAAGCCCUGUGCAGCUGGCUUUGCUCACUGUCUGCUGGUCGAAGGGCACCAAAGAAGCUGUGGCACUGCCACUGUGCAGCCGUGCUACGACCUGCUCAAUGAAAUCCUCAGCUGCGAGCAUGAAGCCUGAGUUAGUAUGUAGCCUGCAAAUCGUACCUUUUAGCUGAUAACUGAAGGCUGGACUUACUGCCUCAUUUGUAUUCAUUUGGUAUCAGAUCAAUGACUCAUCAAAGGAAGCUUCUUUGAUAGGCUUGCUGGGUCACAAAUACACGCGGUGCUGAUGAACUCAAAGUGAUGAAAAUCUUUUUGGAUCUCUUGGUUUAUUCUGGACGACUGUGUUGACACUUGGUGUGCUGCGGUGGUGGGUCAAGUGGCAGAUGUCAUACACGUGGAGGCAGCGAGGCUGAGCUGUGCUGUGGCUACUGCAUCCUUCACUACCACACCCUCCCAGCAAACACAAGCCAGCUUUCCUUAAGAUCGUUUUGGUGAAGAAGUAGAAACCAUUACUUUUAUGAAACAUCUUUUGAAUACUCUAUGUGACAAAACAGGAAGGAAGUACACAUCAGUCCCUUCCACUGCAUGUUCAGCUACCAGAGGUGUCUCCAACAUAGCACAUGUACAGUUGUUUGAGGUGCUAGCUAUAUUAGUUGCUUUUUCACACAACACCAUUGUUACUUGAAAGAAUGACUGGAAAACUAUGGUUAUUCUGACUCAGGUAUUUAGUGGACUUUUUCUUAAAAAACCAAUGAAGUGAGCCUGUCACUUCAAGGGAAGAAAUAACUUAUUGUAUUUAUUGCCAAUGGUAAAAUUUGGGCAUUCUAGUAAAACAUAGACUUUUGUAAGACUUGUAUCUAGCACUGUGAGCUUGAUAGAUUACUAAAACGUACAGGCUUUUCAGCUCAAAUCAGUGGUGAUAUUAGCGAAUGUUUUGUGAAAAAUUUUGCAUAACGAAAUGUGUCACAUUUAGAAAAUCUCUGUGCUUCAUUGAACUAAUUUUUCCAAAUGACCAGUGUAUAAUGUCACAAAAUCAUGCAAGAUAGACCAGUGGAUUUUUGUCAAAGAGUUAAAAAGUUCACUGAUAGGGUUUCAGAUUCCAUUUUGUAACUAAUCUUUAAAAGAUUGCCACUUGUCAGGUUUCAAUGUAGUAUCAAAGAAGAAUAUUCACAAUUAUUUGAAAAGGCAAUUAAAAUAUACCCCUUCUCAAAUACAUAUCUGUGUGAGGUUGGGUUUUCUUUAAAUACCUAAAGCAAAACAAUGUAUUACAACAGAUUAAAUGCAAUACAGAUAUGAGAAUCCAACUGCCUUCCAUCAAGCCAGACAGUAAAGAGGUUUACAAAAAUAUAAAA